rnacentral:rRNA from 1 species
CCAACUUCAAGAUAAGAUUUCCCACCGCAAGGGUAAGACCCCAGAAAGACUAUCUGGUUGAUAGGUCGAAGGUGUAAGUGCAGCAAUGUAUUUAGCUUAUCGAUACUAAUAGGUCGAGGACUUGACCAAUAUUUAUUUGAUGUUCAUUCAUUAAGAUAUAUGUGUAGUUUUUAGAGUGUUAACUUUUAAAAAUUAGUUUUACUAAUUUACAAUAAAAUAGGUGUGCUGGUGUGGCUCAACGGUAGAGCAGCUGACUUGUAAUCAGCAGGUUGUAGGUUCGAUUCCUAUCACCAGCUCCAGUAAAGACUAUGUUUUUAGCAUAGUCUUUUUUUAUUGUUUUUUAUUGUUUGAUGUAUUUGUUAUUUUGUAUUAAAUACUUUUAGUGGUCUAAUUUAUAAAUUAUAGGUAUAAAAGAUGACACAGUUUAAAAUUAUUGUUUUAAACUGUGUCUGUGAGUUUUAAAUCAAUCUACCAUGAAUCACCAUUCUGGCAUCAUCAAAUUCAUAUGUACAUGUAGAAAGUGUAACUAUUUUAUCAUUGCUAUUUACCUUAAUAGGAGAUUUAUACAAUGAUUUAGAAGUAAUAUCAUUUAUGUAAUUUUGAUAAUCAGAUUCAUUGUUAAAAUUUGUUUUUAGAUAAUCAUAAUCAGAUUCUACAAUAUAAGCAGAAAAAACAUCAUAUAAAAAUUCUUUUCCAUUCAAGGUUAUUUUUAUUUUAUUAUUUUUUUUAAAGAAGUCAGCAUCUUUAAACUUAUUUAGGUUGUUGAACAUAGUUUUAUUUUUCAUAUUAUGUCCAUAUAUUAUGAUAUUUUUGUCAUCAAUAGAUUUAUUUCUAUAAUCCAUAAACAGUGUACCAGAAAUAGAAUCUUUUUUAUAAAAAUCUUUGUCAAGAUAGUAAGAAUUAUCUUUAGAUUGUACAACUGGAUAAUUUAUAUUUGUAUUCUCAACAGAAAGCCAAAAUUUAAAAUCACUGUUAAUCUUUGAUAAAUCCUCUUUUUUAUAUUCUUUUUUUUGAAGUUCUGAGGAUAUUUUAGUAUCAUGAUUGUAUUUGGUAAGUUUUGAGUAUAUAUUAAAUCCACUGUAAAGUAUUACUAAUACUAGUAUAAUGUUAAUUACUAUUCUAUAUAAUUUUUUCAAUAUAUCACCUCGAGUUAAAUGUAGUUUAUAUAUCUAUAUUACACUAUUUUUGAAUAAAUUUAAAUUUUUAGUAUAAUAUUACUUUGACAUGUAAAAGAAUUUGUGUUAACAUAACUAAGUAAAAUAAAUAUUAAGUAAGCCAGAUAAUCGCAUGUAAUCUUACAUGAGGAAAGUCGGAGCUCCAUAGAGCAGGGUGCUAGGUAACGCCUAGUGGGAGCGAUCCUAAGGAUAGUGCAACAGAAAUAAACCGCCACUAUUGUGGUAAGGAUGGAAAGGCGAGGUAAGAGCUCACCAGCAGCUAGGCGACUAGUUGGCUAUGUAAACCCCACCUGGAGCAAGACCAAGAUAGGAAUAAAGAGUGCUGCUCGUACUCUCCGGUAGGUAGGUCGCUUGAGCCUAUUGGUGACAAUAGGCCUAGAAAGAUGAUUAUCUAAUACAGAACUCCGCUUAUAGACUUGCUUAAUUAUUUCGAUAGUCAAAAACAUCAGUUUAAACUGAUGUUUUUUUAUUUGUAAAUUUGUCUAAUCUACUUUUAAAAUUUUGAGGAAUAUUGUAAUAUAAGUUAGUACAGAUAUUAAAAAUGGUAUAAUAUAAGAUAGAUAUAAAAAGAAAAAGUAAAAUGAUGUAAAUAAUAUGAUAUGAUAUAAGAUGUAGCAAAUUUAGUAAAUAAUUAUUUAGAUAUCAUAAUCAAAUUAGCAACUUUGCACAAUGUAAAUAUUACAAUAAAAUAAUUGAUUUAAGGAGUGAAGGUUUUGAGUGAAAAUAAUAUAAUAAGAAACACUGUUUUAAAUGUCACAGCAAGUUUUUUAAAACAAGAGUCUAAAAUAAAUGAAAAGCUAGAUGGUGUUUUGGAAAAGAAAUUUGAAAAAGUAGAAUUUAAUGAAGCAAAAUAUGCAGAGCUUUUAAAAUUUAAUAUAUUGUUUUAUAAGACAUUAGCAAGAAAUACAGAACCACUUAUUGGCAAAUGGAUAGUAGAUAAGUACAUACCUGAAAUAGAUGAAUUAGAAAAAGAUUUAGAAUUAACUACAGCAAAAUGUAGAAAGUAUGUAAAUAAGGCUAUGAAAGAGGGAUUAGACUCUCUAAAAGCCAAUGAUUUAAAUAGUUUUUUAGCUUAUGAUAAAAUGGAACUAUCAGAGAGAAGAAGACGUUUAGAAAAGGAUUAUAAGGUUUUAAACCUAUAUAAAGACCUUCUUAAUAUAUCUCUUAGAAAAAUAAGUUUAGAAAAGAAAGAAUGUGGAGAUUU